AUUAUUCAGCCUUACCUGGGUUGGAGUUUGCUUUUCAUUUUCUCUGGGCAAAGCAAUUAAAUUUAAAAAAAAAAAAAAAAAAAAGACAAAUUACAAGAGGAAUAUUUCAGGAGUACAGUUUUAAAAGGUUUUAGUAUCCAAUUUAUUGGGGCCCAAGCUGGAGUGCAGUGGCGUGAUCCCAGCCUGGCUCACUGCAACCUCCACCUCUC
rnacentral:lncRNA from 10 species